rnacentral:rRNA from 1 species
AGCGAACGCUGGCGGCAGGCCUAACACAUGCAAGUCGAACGGAACCUCCGUGAGUGGUGGCGGUUGCGUGAGUAACACGUCGGAACGUGCCGUUUGGCUUCGGACUACACAUGGUAACUUGGGCUAAUGUCGGGAGAGUCACGCUGGGGAAAGAUUCAUCGUCAUUGGAGCGGCCCGCGUCCGAUUAGCUUGUUGGUGAGGUAACGGCCGAUCAAGGCGACGAUCAGUAGCUGGUCUGAGAGGAUGCUCAGCCACACUGGGACUGUGACACGGCCCAGACUCCUACGGGAGGCAGCAGUGGGGAAUCUUGCGAAAUGGGCGAAAGCCUGACGCAGUCAUGCCGCGUGAAUGAUGAAGGUCGGAGGAUUGUAAAAUUCUUUCAGCGGGGACGAUAAUGACGGUACCCGCAGAAGAAGCUCCGGCUAACUUCGUG